rnacentral:rRNA from 1 species
AACGCUGGCGGCAUGCCUAACACAUGCAAGUCGAACGAGACCUUCGGGUCUAGUGGCGCACGGGUGCGUAACGCGUGGGAAUCUACCCUUGGGUUCGGAAUAACUCAGAGAAAUUUGAGCUAAUACCGGAUGAUGUCGCAAGACCAAAGAUUUAUCGCCCAAGGAUGAGCCCGCGUAGGAUUAGCUUGUUGGUGGGGUAAAAGCUCACCAAGGCGACGAUCCUUAGCUGGUCUGAGAGGAUGAUCAGCCACACUGGGACUGAGACACGGCCCAGACUCCUACGGGAGGCAGCAGUGGGAAUAUUGGACAAUGGGCGAAAGCCUGAUCCAGCAAUGCCGCGUGAGUGAUGAAGGCCUUAGGGUUGUAAAGCUCUUUUACCCGGGAUGAUAAUGACAGUACCGGGAGAAUAAGCCCCGGCUAACUCCGUG